rnacentral:lncRNA from 1 species
UGCCCCCGCCGUGCCCACUGGUCCUCUCCCGGUGUCUCCAGUUUCUUGCAGGAGCCUCCAGGUCAGCCUCUAGGUCAGCCUCCGGGACCCCCUGGGGAGCAAGCCUGGGUGACUGUCCUACCUCCCCGGCCCCCAGGCUGACCCCGAUGAUCAGGACUCCUCAGAGCCGGUGCCUUCCCAGAGCCCCAGCCCAGUGCGUCUGCCCAGCCACCCCCAGGCCUAGGCCUGCACUGCGGCACAGCAGGGAGGGCCUCAGGGAAUUAGGGGGAGGGGCUGUGGCGUCAGGAGGCCAGUGGGGUGACUCCCCCUAUGCUCAGUGCGGCCAACUGCUCUACCUGUGGCCGUCAUGUCCUGAAGCUGGUGGCCCUACCCCAGCCAGCUGUCCUGCUUCCCCUAGAGGCCCUGUGGGCCAGAGGCUCCGAGGAGGGGGUCCCAGGGCCAUGUUACCGUGCUGACCCUGGCCUGGUCUAGGCGGUGGCCGCGUGGGCUGCGGCGCUAGGCUACAGGCCCCACUCGGGGCCUGUAGGGCUCGGCCCGACUCAGCCUAUGGGUCAGUACGGCAGCUCGUCCACAGAGUGGCCCCCGGAGAGCGGCCCUGUCUCCUCCAGGAGGCGCAGCCUAGCGUGGCAGUGUGGCAGAGGUGGGCAGGGAGCGGAGCGGCCGGCUGACGUCUCUGCGGCUGCCCAGUGGCUCCCGCGGCAGGCCCGGGGGUUGGUACCCACGAGGGCAGCCCCUCCUUGCAGGGCUGGGCCCCUCCAGCAAAGGGGCAGAAAGAAGCUGUGUCCCCGCGGCUCCCACGGGAACCCCUGUCAUUAGAGGGGCCUCGUGACAUGCCUGCCUCCGAGAGGCGCCGCUGCCUCUUACCCCCUCAGUACCCCCACAUCCUGGGCCCCCCACCCCGUGCCUCAUGCUGCUCGCUCCGUCAGCAAGGACUCACGGCACAGGCGGGCCCGGGCAGUGCAGCCGGAGGACUGGGCCAUGGCCUGGCUUAGCCCGGGCGGCUGUGAGCCUCAGGACAUAGCCGGGGGUGGGGUGGGGAGGGGAGCCUCUGCCCAGACAGGCUGUCGUGCCGGACGCUCAGCGCUGGGGUGAGCUGACAGGGUUAUGCCUCGUUAGGGGUGGCAUUGUGUCCCUCCCCCAUGCUCAUGUAUGAAGUCUUGACCCCUGAGCUCCUGAGAACAUGCCCUCAUAUCGAAGGUCGUUGCAGGUGUAAUCAGUUAAGAUGGGGCCUCCUGAAGUCCCGACUGCCGUCCUCACGAAAAGGGGAUUUUGGACAGACGCACAGAGGGAAGAUACCACCUGCAAACCAAGGCAGGGGGCCUGGAGCAGACCCUUCCCUUGUACCCUUCAAAAGGAAUCAACCCUGCCCAUGGCUGGACCGUGGGCUUCCAGACUCCAGAACUGUGAGUCAAUUUGUUUUUCCUUUCUUUUUUUUUUUUUUUUUUUAAUUUUUUUUUUCAACGUUUAUUUAUUUUUGGGACAGAGAGAGACAGAGCAUGAACGGGGGAGGGGCAGCGAGAGAAGGAGACACAGAAUCGGAAACAGGCUCCAGGCUCCGAGCCAUCAGCCCAGAGCCCGACGCGGGGCUCGAACUCACGGACCGCGAGAUCGUGACCUGGCUGAGGUCGGACGCUUAACCGACUGCGCCACCCAGGCGCCCCUGUUUUUUUUUUUUAAAUUGUUUUAAUGCUUAUUUAUUUUUGAGAGAAAGAGAGAGAGAGAGAGACAGAGAGAGCAAGUGGGGGAGGGGCAGAGAGAGAGGAAGACACAGAAUCCAAAGCAGGCUCCAGGCUCUGAGCCAUCAGCACACAGCUGGAUGCAGGGCUUGAACCCAUGGAUGACAAGAUUGUGACCCGAGCGGAAGUCGGAUGCUUAACCGACUGAGCCACCCUGGCGCCCCUCGUUUUUCAUUUCUGUUGCUUAAACCACUCAGCCUGUGCAAACGGAGAUAGUCCCCAGUUGUGAGAACCAAACCUGGCAGAGCAAGUGAAGACGGGGUCUGGGACUUCGGCACAGGGGGUGACCUGGAAGCCGCUCCUUGAGGCCCCGCUGCCCCUGUGCUACAGGACAGAUGAAGGGGGCGAGGGGAAGGUGCGGUCAGCGUGGACCCAUCUGGUGACUCCCAGGCUGGGCAUCGAGGGUGGAUUAAACUAGGCAAGAUGCCUGACCUGUACUUCAGAAUUAAAUUUCUUUGCAUCUUGCUCCAA